rnacentral:rRNA from 1 species
ACUAAGCGUACACGGUGGAUGCCCUGGCAGUCAGAGGCGAUGAAGGACGUGCUAAUCUGCGAAAAGCGCCGGCGAGGUGAUAUGAACCCUUGACCCGGCGAUGUCCGAAUGGGGAAACCCAGUGCAAUCCGUUGCACUAUCGUUAACUGAAUACAUAGGUUAACGAGGCGAACCGGGGGAACUGAAACAUCUAAGUACCCCGAGGAAAAGAAAUCAACCGAGAUUCCCCCAGUAGCGGCGAGCGAACGGGGAGCAGCCCGGAGUCUGAAUCAGCUUGUGUGUUAGUGGAACGGUCUGGAAAGUCCGACGGUACAGGGUGAUAGUCCCGUACACGAAAGCACACUUGCUGUGAACUCGAAGAGUAGGGCGGGACACGUGGUAUCCUGUCUGAAUAUGGGGGGACCAUCCUCCAAGGCUAAAUACUCCUGACUGACCGAUAGUGAACCAGUACCGUGAGGGAAAGGCGAAAAGAACCCCGGCGAGGGGAGUGAAAAAGAACCUGAAACCGUGUACGUACAAGCAGUGGGAGCCUCUUUAUGGGGUGACUGCGUACCUUUUGUAUAAUGGGUCAGCGACUUAUAUUCUGUAGCAAGGUUAACCGUAUAGGGGAGCCGAAGGGAAACCGAGUCUUAACUGGGCGUUAAGUUGCAGGGUAUAGACCCGAAACCCGGUGAUCUAGCCAUGGGCAGGUUGAAGGUUGGGUAACACUAACUGGAGGACCGAACCGACUAAUGUUGAAAAAUUAGCGGAUGACCUGUGGCUGGGGGUGAAAGGCCAAUCAAACCGGGAGAUAGCUGGUUCUCCCCGAAAGCUAUUUAGGUAGCGCCUCGUGAACUCAUCUUCGGGGGUAGAGCACUGUUUCGGCUAGGGGGCCAUCCCGGCUUACCAACCCGAUGCAAACUACGAAUACCGAAGAAUGUUAUCACGGGAGACACACGGCGGGUGCUAACGUCCGUCGUGAAGAGGGAAACAACCCAGACCGCCAGCUAAGGUCCCAAAGUCAUGGUUAAGUGGGAAACGAUGUGGGAAGGCACAGACAGCCAGGAUGUUGGCUUAGAAGCAGCCAUCAUUUAAAGAAAGCGUAAUAGCUCACUGGUCGAGUCGGCCUGCGCGGAAGAUGUAACGGGGCUAAACCAUGCACCGAAGCUGCGGCAGCGACACUAUGUGUUGUUGGGUAGGGGAGCGUUCUGUAAGCCGUUGAAGGUGUGCUGUGAGGCAUGCUGGAGGUAUCAGAAGUGCGAAUGCUGACAUAAGUAACGAUAAAGCGGGUGAAAAGCCCGCUCGCCGGAAGACCAAGGGUUCCUGUCCAACGUUAAUCGGGGCAGGGUGAGUCGACCCCUAAGGCGAGGCCGAAAGGCGUAGUCGAUGGGAAACAGGUUAAUAUUCCUGUACUUGGUGUUACUGCGAAGGGGGGACGGAGAAGGCUAUGUCAGCCGGGCGACGGUUGUCCCGGUUUAAGCAUGUAGGCGGAGGUUCCAGGUAAAUCCGGUACCUUAUUAACGCUGAGGUGUGAUGACGAGGCACUACGGUGCUGAAGUGAUAAAUGCCCUGCUUCCAGGAAAAGCCUCUAAGCAUCAGGUAACACGAAAUCGUACCCCAAACCGACACAGGUGGUCAGGUAGAGAAUACCAAGGCGCUUGAGAGAACUCGGGUGAAGGAACUAGGCAAAAUGGUGCCGUAACUUCGGGAGAAGGCACGCUGAUGUGUAGGUGAAGUCCCUGCGGACGGAGCUGAAAUCAGUCGAAGAUACCAGCUGGCUGCAACUGUUUAUUAAAAACACAGCACUGUGCAAACACGAAAGUGGACGUAUACGGUGUGACGCCUGCCCGGUGCCGGAAGGUUAAUUGAUGGGGUUAGCGGCAACGCGAAGCUCUUGAUCGAAGCCCCGGUAAACGGCGGCCGUAACUAUAACGGUCCUAAGGUAGCGAAAUUCCUUGUCGGGUAAGUUCCGACCUGCACGAAUGGCGUAAUGAUGGCCAGGCUGUCUCCACCCGAGACUCAGUGAAAUUGAACUCGCUGUGAAGAUGCAGUGUACCCGCGGCAAGACGGAAAGACCCCGUGAACCUUUACUAUAGCUUGACACUGAACACUGGUCCUUGAUGUGUAGGAUAGGUGGGAGGCUUUGAAGCGUGGACGCCAGUCUGCGUGGAGCCNGACCCGUAAUCCGGGUUGCGGACAGUGUCUGGUGGGUAGUUUGACUGGGGCGGUCUCCUCCCAAAGAGUAACGGAGGAGCACGAAGGUUGGCUAAUCCUGGUCGGACAUCAGGAGGUUAGUGCAAUGGCAUAAGCCAGCUUGACUGCGAGCGUGACGGCGCGAGCAGGUGCGAAAGCAGGUCAUAGUGAUCCGGUGGUUCUGAAUGGAAGGGCCAUCGCUCAACGGAUAAAAGGUACUCCGGGGAUAACAGGCUGAUACCGCCCAAGAGUUCAUAUCGACGGCGGUGUUUGGCACCUCGAUGUCGGCUCAUCACAUCCUGGGGCUGAAGUAGGUCCCAAGGGUAUGGCUGUUCGCCAUUUAAAGUGGUACGCGAGCUGGGUUUAGAACGUCGUGAGACAGUUCGGUCCCUAUCUGCCGUGGGCGCUGGAGAAUUGAGGGGGGCUGCUCCUAGUACGAGAGGACCGGAGUGGACGCAUCACUGGUGUUCGGGUUGUCAUGCCAAUGGCACUGCCCGGUAGCUAAAUGCGGAAGAGAUAAGUGCUGAAAGCAUCUAAGCACGAAACUUGCCCCGAGAUGAGUUCUCCCUGAGACUUUAAGUCUCCUGAAGGAACGUUGAAGACGACGACGUUGAUAGGUCGGGUGUGUAAGCGCAGCGAUGCGUUGAGCUAACCGAUACUAAUGAACCGUGAGGCUUAACC